rnacentral:rRNA from 1 species
UACGUAGGGGGCCAGCGUUGUCCGGAUUCAUUGGGCGUAAAGCGCGUGUAGGCGGCCAGGUAGGUCCGAUGUGAAAUCUGGAGGCUUAACCUCCAGCGGUCAUUGGAAACCAUCUGGCUAGAGUCCGGAAGAGGAGAGUGGAAUUCCUGGUGUAGCGGUGAAAUGCGCAGAUAUCAGGAAGAACACCGAUGGCGAAGGCAGCUCUCUGGGACGGUACUGACGCUGAGACGCGAAAGCGUGGGGAGCGAACAGG